AAGACCCCCAUCCCUGGCAAACAUUCCAGGCCAGCUUGGACGGGGCUGUGAGCAACCUGAGCUGGCUAAAGGUGUCCCUGCUCCCUGCAGGGGGGUUGGGCUGGGUGGCC